rfam:Clostridium sp. CAG:433 genomic scaffold, scf11
GGGCCUGUAUAUGGUUUCGACAGAAAUGUUUAAAAUUAAGUGGCAAGUCGGAGGCACCCGUUAGUGUGCAAACAAAAAAUAAAUGGAAACAAAAUUAAAGAUGCAUUUGCAUCACUAUUCAGAACUAAUAGUGUAGCCGUAGGUGUUUAGUCACAAAUGCAAUUUUCUAUUAUCUUUUCUUGCGUAGAUUAUAGAAAAUUCGAACUUUAGCAAGAUAUAUUAUUACUUAGCCUAGAAGUAAUAAUGAAUAAUUAUAGGCUUACUAAUUUGUAGGUUGUUAGUUUCUUUUAUAAAUUAGGACAAAUAAAAAACUAACUAAACUUGUAGAAGCUUUCUGGUAUGCAUUUUUGGACAGGAGUUCGACUCUCCUCAGGUCCACCA